rnacentral:snoRNA from 1 species
UCUUUUUAGUUAAUAUACUUUAUUCAAUUGAACUCAGCAGCUGCUGUCUUUCAUAUAUGAAAAUAUGGUUCUAGCAGAGUACACACAAGAAGAAAAGUAACUGCAAUAGAUGAUAAAGACUGGGGUGGACCUCUUUCUUAAUGUCCAGUGUCCUUUGUCUUUAAAAAAAAAA